rnacentral:tRNA from 4 species
GGCGGGAUGCCAGAGUGGACGAAUGGGACUGUUUCGAAAACAGUUGUACUUUAAAAAGUACCGGGGGUUCAAAUCCUCCUCCCGCCG